AUGCAAUUAAGAAAUGUGCGCUGUUUAUUUUUCACAUUUGCUCUCUUACAGAAACAUUGGCCAGCCGUUCCUGUUGUGGCCACCAAUGCAGCACAUCUACUAAUCAUGGCGCCUAUGAACAUGAGGCCACCCACAGGAGCAUUCAAGAGAAGGCAAGGCCGUUGCAGUUCAUGCAGCCAUCGCCACCGUCGCCACCACCACUAUGGCCGUGCUCGCCGUUGUCUCCACAAGGGUGGUCAGCAACGCUGCCUUUGCCACCGCCGCAGCACUUAUUACUACCAGAGCCUCCGUCGCCUUCUUCAGAGCAGCCACGGAUGCAGCCAUGCGCAUUGAUGCCACCGGUACCACACCCUGGAACCACUUCAAGUGGUUCUCAAGAACCUACCAGCCAGAUGCCUUCAGCAAGUACAUUGCUGGGAGACCUAGUGAAACGGCACCAAUGGAGAGGUUAAGAAAAAUGAACAGAUUCAUUGCUGAAAUGUUGAACGACCUAAAUAAAUGAGUCGUCAAAACAUUA